CAGGCUUUUCGGCCUUAUGGCUAAGAUCAAAGUGUACUAUCUGUUCUCGUCAGCUUAACAUCUUUUCAGUUUACAGACUUAAUAAUCUCCA